UUAAUGUCUUUCCUUCUAAAGGGAGCUUGCUGCCUUCGAUGAGCAUUGAUUUCCCUCUGUUCAUGGAGGAUGAAGGCAAAACUCCCAAUGGAAUCAACCUUUUCUUCUCUCCCUCUCUCUCUCUUUCUCUCUUGUCUCUACCCACCAACCAGUCUGUCCCUGGAGAGAACGUGCCCUCGACUGCACCUCUGCACCAGAGGCUUGGAUAGGUGCAACACAAAUGCUUGUCAGAUCAAAUAAAAUAAUGAUGUUAUUAUGUCUUAAAGAAGACCAUGUUUGAGGGGUAAGAGAAAAAUGGGGUCUGGAGUUUGGUGCUUAAUCUUAAAGACCCAACAAUAACAUCAAAUUUUAAGUGAUCUCAAACCCUUCGUGCUGCCUGGCAAUUCCAGCUGAUUUCCUCAGUCAACUCACUCUUCCAGUCAAGAGAUUAUUUCACUGAUUCUUCUCUCUUCUCAAGCCCUCUUGCUUUUAACUCUUGGGUUUGCUUCUUAUUUUCCUGAAAAAAUAAAAGCAUAGUAAGACAGCUUCCGCAUAUGUACCACUAAGUCCACUAAAUGUCCACAUCUGUAUCCUCAUAUGCUGUCUGCCCUCCUAUUAACAAUGCAAGGCUCCUUCUGUAACUAUGUUCUUCUCCAAGGCCAGCCCUCACCUGGGCCCUGUGUCUCUUCUUCCGCCAUGCAAUGACCUUGCUCUUACCAUCAUCCCCUCUUCUGCAUCAGUUUCUCUCUUUCUACUGGAUUAUUCAGAUAAACAUACAAAUGUACUGUGAUAUCUCCCACCCUUAACAAACAAACAACACCUUUCUCCUACAUAUCCUCUUCCAGUUGCUGCUUCAUUUUUCUGAUUCUCAUUGUGGCAAAAUUCCUUGAAAAAGUUGUUAUAUUUGCUGUCUUCACCAACUCUUCCUUCAUUUUCUCUUGACUAUAUUCCAGUCAGGCUUUCCUCCCCAUCCUUCCACAUCCCCCUAACUCCAUUGUCAGGAUAAUCAAUGAACUCCACAUUGCCAAAUCCAGUGACCAGCUCUUGGUUCUCAUUUUACUUGACCUAUUAGCAUUGUACAAAUCUGAUCCGGCCUUCCUCCUUCUUCUUCAUUUUUAUUUGUUUUUUUUUUUUUUUUUUUGAGUGGUUUUAGGUUCAGAACAAACUUAAGAAGAAUGAACAGAGAUGUCCCCCCUCCUUCUUUUUUUUUUUUUUGAAGACAGAGUCUCACUCUGUUGCUCAGGCUGGAGUGCAAUGGUGUGAGCCACCACACCCUGGUCCUGCCUGGCCCCGUCUUCUUCUUUAAAGUCUGCUUCAUCAGUUUCUGAGUCAUCCUUCCCUAUAGGUACUUCAAUCUCAGUGACUACCCCUUCUCAAUCUCCUUUGCUGGGUGCUGCAGCUUCCUGAAUUCUGAAUGGGAGAGUGCCUAGGGCUCCAGCCUCAGACCUCAUCCUUUCUUCAGCCAUAUCUCAUUUGGUCUGUGGCUUUAUGUACCAGCUAUGUGCUAAGUCAUAAACAUUAAAAUUCCAGUAUGGGCCCCUU
rnacentral:lncRNA from 1 species